UAGCGGUGGAAUGCGCAGAUAUCAGGAGGAACACCGAUGGCGAAGGCAGAUCUCUGGGCCGUAACUGACGCUGAGGAGCGAAAGGGUGGGAGCAAACAGGCUUAGAUACCCUGGUAGUCCACCCCGUAAACGUUGGGAACUAGUUGUGGGGACCAUUCCACGGUUUCCGUGACGCAGCUAACGCAUUAAGUUCCCCGCCUGGGGAGUACGGCCGCAAGGCUAAAACUCAAAGGAAUUGACGGGGACCCGCACAAGCGGCGGAGCAUGCGGAUUAAUUCGAUGCAACGCGAAGAACCUUACCAAGGCUUGACAUACACCAGAACGGGCCAGAAAUGGUCAACUCUUUGGACACUGGUGAACAGGUGGUGCAUGGUUGUCGUCAGCUCGUGUCGUGAGAUGUUGGGUUAAGUCCCGCAACGAGCGCAACCCUCGUUCUAUGUUGCCAGCACGUAAUGGUGGGAACUCAUGGGAUACUGCCGGGGUCAACUCGGAGGAAGGUGGGGAUGACGUCAAAUCAUCAUGCCCCUUAUGUCUUGGGCUUCACGCAUGCUACAAUGGCCGGUACAAAGGGCUGCAAUACCGUGAGGUGGAGCGAAUCCCAAAAAGCCGGUCCCAGUUCGGAUUGAGGUCUGCAACUCGACCUCAUGAAGUCGGAGUCGCUAGUAAUCGCAGAUCAGCAACGCUGCGGUGAAUACGUUCCCGGGUCUUGUACACACCGCCCGUCAAGUCAUGAAAGUCGGUAACACCUGAAGCCGGUGGCCCAACCCUUGUGGAGGGAGCCGUCGAAGGUGGGAUCGGUAAUUAGGACUAAGUCGUAACAAGGUAGCCGUACCGGAAGGUGCGGCUGGAUCACCUCCUUUCUAAGGAGCAUCUGGCA
rnacentral:rRNA from 1 species